AAAAACCCUCUUUAAACUAUUCCAAAUCAGCAUCUCAUCAGUUAGGGCCUCUUGUAUUAGGGUUUGUCAGAGAAUCAGAGAGAAAAGCCCUCUUUAAACUAUUCUAAAUCAGCAUCUUAACUUCCUCUUCUCUUUCUAAAUCUCAGUUAGGGCCUCUUCUAUUAGGGUUUGUGAGGCCCAUAACCUAUUCUUUCUUCCUUCUUCUCUCUAGAAACCCAGGCUAUGAGCCCAGCCUUAUUUUUUUAUCUUCUUUCUUCCUUCUUCUAUCUCUAAACUGUAACCUUCUUCUCUCUCACUUCCUUCUUCCUC
rnacentral:lncRNA from 1 species